rnacentral:rRNA from 1 species
AGAGUUUGAUCAUGGCUCAGGAUGAACGCUAGCGGCAGGCCUAACACAUGCAAGUCGAGGGGCAUCGGGAUUGAAGCUUGCUUCAAUUGCCGGCGACCGGCGCACGGGUGCGUAACGCGUAUGUAACCUACCUAUAACAGGGGCAUAACACUGAGAAAUUGGUACUAAUUCCCCAUAAUAUUCGGGAGAGGCAUCUCUCCGGGUUGAAAACUCCGGUGGUUAUAGAUGGACAUGCGUUGUAUUAGCUAGUUGGUGAGGUAACGGCUCACCAAGGCAACGAUACAUAGGGGGACUGAGAGGUUAACCCCCANACUGGUACUGAGACACGGACCAGACUCCUACGGGAGCA